CCCCCUUCCCUACAAGAUUCCCUGCCUACUGUGUCCCUCCUCACCCCCCGUCCUGCUGGAGAGGGGGAAGGAGAGGAGAGAUGGAGUGAAGUGGAGGGGGUGAAACCUGGGGCUGGAGAGGCGAGGCAGGGAGCUAGCCUCCCCCAGGAGAAGCUUCAUCCUCCACCCACACUUUCCCUGUCUCUGCCACUUCCCUCUCAAAUGCUGAUAGAAAUUCCCUCUAGUGCUUCCCCUGUUCUCUCUCAUUAUCACCUAUUAAGUGUUUUCCCAGCAUGGCAGAAUCUAGGAUAUCCAUCUGCAGGGAAAGAGCCUGGGGAAAUUCUGAUGUGAAAUGAACUAAAGCCUGUUCUGAAACCUCCACAACUGCCCUUCUUGCCCUGCCAGGCUGCAGAAUGACAUCCAUGUUUCGCUCCAGCUCAUCCCAUCCUCCCAUGGGACAGGAAAGAGAAAUGGCUGCAGAGGAGCCAGUUCAGGAGCCGGUGACCUGCAA